rnacentral:tRNA from 1 species
GUUGGGGUGGCAGAGCCCGGCAGUGCAAAAGACCUAAACUCUUUCGACAGAGGUUCAAUUCCUCUCCCUAACU